UACGAAGGGGGCUAGCGUUGCUCGGAAUCACUGGGCGUAAAGGGUGCGUAGGCGGGUCUUUAAGUCAGAGGUGAAAUCCUGGAGCUCAACUCCAGAACUGCCUUUGAUACUGAAGAUCUUGAGUUCGGGAGAGGUGAGUGGAACUGCGAGUGUAGAGGUGAAAUUCGUAGAUAUUCGCAAGAACACCAGUGGCGAAGGCGGCUCACUGGCCCGAUACUGACGCUGAGGCACGAAAGCGUGGGGAGCCAAAC
rnacentral:rRNA from 1 species